AGGUUAUUGAUGUGUAAACCGGGGCGAUUAACUCACAAACUGAAUAAAAGUCCGAAGGACUUUUAUGUUGAGUUUGUGAGUAAGAGCCCCGGUUUACACAUCAAUAACCUCUAGAAAAAAUGUGUUUAAUCCUUAUAAUUCUUCAGCCAAACAUUUGUGAUAUUUAAUAAACAUUUGUUUUGUUGAUGGCUACUAUAUAUAUUUACCAUCAAAAGCACAAUGGCAAGUCGUAACUAAGGAGUACGCCGCCAUCUUUACUUUCUAAAAACCAUAAAUGUCCGAUAAAUACAACGGAAUCUUAAAUGAAAUAGCAUCUACCUCAAAAACUUCAUUUUAAUUAAAUGUUAUCCGAAUUUGAAGCGUACACGUAACGAAAUAAUCUUUCCCUUUAAAAUUUCCAUUCGUAUGACGU
rnacentral:lncRNA from 1 species